AUACGUAGGGUGCAAGCGUUAAUCGGAAUUACUGGGCGUAAAGCGUGCGCAGGCGGUUUUGUAAGACAGAGGUGAAAUCCCCCGGCUCAACCUGGGAACUGCCUUUGUUACUGCCAGGCUUGAGUACGGAAGAGGGGGAUGGAAUUCCGCGUGUAGACGUGAAAUGCGUAGAUAUGUGGAGGAACACCGAUGGCGAAGGCAAUCCCCGGGGCCUGAGCUGACGCUCAUGCGCGAAAGCGUGGGUAGCAAAAAGUAUUAGAUACCCUGGUAGUCCUCGACAUAAACGAUGUGAACUGGUUGUUGGUUCUUCAGUGCCUCAGUAACGAAGCUAACGCGUGAAGUUGACCGCCUGUGGAGUACGGCCACAAGGUUGAAACUUAAAUGUAUUGUCGCGG
rnacentral:rRNA from 1 species